rnacentral:rRNA from 1 species
UAGGGAAUCUUCGGCAAUGGGGGCAACCCUGACCGAGCAACGCCGCGUGAGUGAAGAAGGUUUUCGGAUCGUAAAGCUCUGUUGUAAGAGAAGAACGUGUGUGAGAGUGGAAAGUUCACACAGUGACGGUAACUUACCAGAAAGGGACGGCUAACUACGUGCCAGCAGCCGCGGUAAUACGUAGGUCCCGAGCGUUGUCCGGAUUUAUUGGGCGUAAAGCGAGCGCAGGCGGUUUAAUAAGUCUGAAGUUAAAGGCAGUGGCUUAACCAUUGUUCGCUUUGGAAACUGUUAAACUUGAGUGCAGAAGGGAAGAGUGGAAUUCCAUGUGUGGCGGUGAAAUGCGUGGAUAUAUGGAGGAACACCGGUGGCGAAAGCGGCUCUCUGGUCUGUAACUGACGCUGAGGCUCGAAAGCGUGGGGAGCAAGCAGG